CUCACAUUUCUGGGUGGGAGCACAAACUCACAAGAAUAUGGCACCCUAUGAGGUCCGAUGAUGAUGACUCUGAUGAAAGAUAAGAGGGAGGAGAGAUCAGUCCUAAGAUUCAAGAUGGAGCUCACUUGGACUGAUGGGGAAAGUUCCAAACUGUUGAAGACACAGUUCCCCAACAGACAGUCUGGAUCUGGGAAGUGAAGCCUGAAGGGUGCAGAUUUGAUCUCUCCUGGACUCUCCUGGUCAUCUUGGAAGCAGCCUCUUUGAACACCAUCAAGCAAGAGUGAUCAGGAUUUUCCCUGAUACCUGCAGGUGGACAGAGAGGAAAAUUCUCUUUUAGACAUCUGAGGACUCAGCUGGAUUCCUGUACCUGACUCAUCAAAAGACUCUCUGAGUGUGAGAAAUCUGGUUACCUGUUGGACUUGCCUUUAGGAAUUUAUGUAAUUAGUUAAGGUAGUUAAAUAGUGGGUUUAAUUAAUUAGAGGGUAAAGCAGUCAGAUUUUCCUUCUCCCAUUUUCCUUUCUCCCUUCAUCCCUUCUCUGUUAAUAAAUUCAAUAUUAUUUAUAUGUGCUGUUUUCCC
rnacentral:lncRNA from 1 species